rnacentral:rRNA from 1 species
GACGAACGCUGGCGGCGUGCCUAAUACAUGCAAGUCGAGCGGACGGAUGGGAGCUUGCUCCCAGACCGUCAGCGGCGGCCGGGUGAGUAACACGUGGGCAACCUGCCUGUAAGACUGGGAUAACUCCGGGAAACCGGGGCUAAUACCGGAUAACUCUUUCCCUCACAUGAGGGAAAGCUGAAAGAUGGCAUCUCGCUAUCACUUACAGAUGGGCCCGCGGAGCAUUAGCUAGUUGGUGAGGCAACGGCUCACCAAGGCGACGAUGCGUAGCCGACCUGAGAGGGUGAUCGGCCACACUGGGACUGAGACACGGCCCAGACUCCUACGGGAGGCAGCAGUAGGGAAUCUUCCGCAAAGGACGAAAGUCUGACGGAGCAACGCCGCGUGAGUGAUGAAGGUUUUCGGAUCGUAAAACUCUGUUGUCAGGGAAGAACAAGUACCGGAGUAACUGCCGGUACCUUGACGGUACCUGACCAGAAAGCCACGGCUAACUACGUG